UGCCUGGCGGCGAUAGCGCGGUGGUCCCACCUGACCCCAUGCCGAACUCAGCAGUGAAACGCCGUAGCGCCGAUGGUAGUGUGGGGUCUCCCCAUGUGAGAGUAGGACACUGCCAGGC
rnacentral:rRNA from 2 species